rnacentral:rRNA from 1 species
GGAUGAACGCUAGCGACAGGCCUAACACAUGCAAGUCGAGGGCAGCACGAAGUAAGCUUGCUUACGUUUGGUGGCGACCGGCGCACGGGUGCGUAACAGGUGUGCAAUCUGUCCAUAAUCGGGGAAUAGCCCAGCGAAAGUUGGAUUAAUGCUCCAUGUGAGCAGGGGAGGCAUCUCCUUUGUUUGAAACGUAAGGAUUAUGGGUGAGCACGCUUCUGAUUAGGUAGUUGGUGAGGUAACGGCUCACCAAGCCGACGAUCAGUAGGGGUUCUGAGAGGAAGGUCCCCCACAUUGGAACUGAGACACGGUCCAAACUCCUACGGGAGGCAGCAGUGAGGAAUAUUGGUCAAUGGACGAAAGUCUGAACCAGCCAAGUCGCGUGAAGGAUGAAGGUUCUAUGGAUUGUAAACUUCUUUUGUCUGAGGGUAAAAAAGCGGACGUGUCCGUUCUUGCAAGUAUCAGACGAAUAAGCAUCGGCUAACUCCGUG